GAUGAACGCUGGCGGCGUGCCUAAUACAUGCAAGUCGAACGCUGGAAAUCUAGCUUGCUGGAUUGAAGGAGUGGCGAACGGGUGAGUAAUACAUAAGCAACCUACCCACGAAGACUGGGAUAAUCUCUGGAAACGGGGACUAAUACCGGAUAGGUAAUCGGAAGGCAUCUUCUGAUUAUUAAAGGUUAAAAACACUGGUGGAUGGGCUUAUGGCGCAUUAGUUAGUUGGUGAGGUAACGGCCCACCAAGACGAUGAUGCGUAGCCGGCCUGAGAGGGUGAACGGCCACAUUGGGACUGAGACACGGCCCAGACGCCUACGGGAGGCAGCAGUAGGGAAGUUUCGGCAAUGGGGGAAACCCUGACCGAGCAACGCCGCGUGGGUGAUGACGGCCUUCGGGUUGUAAAGCUCUGUUGUAAGGGAAGAACGGUAGAUAGAGAAUAUCUAAAUGACGGUACCUUACCAGAAAGCCACGGCUAACUACGUG
rnacentral:rRNA from 1 species